rnacentral:rRNA from 1 species
AACGAACGCUGGCGGCAGGCCUAACACAUGCAAGUCGAGCGCGCCCUUCGGGGUGAGCGGCGGACGGGUGAGUAACGCGUGGGAACGUGCCCUUCUCUGCGGAAUAGCCUCGGGAAACUGAGAGUAAUACUGCAUACGCCCUUUGGGGGAAAGAUUUAUCGGAGAAGGAUCGGCCCGCGUUGGAUUAGGUAGUUGGUGGGGUAAUGGCCCACCAAGCCGACGAUCCAUAGCUGGUUUGAGAGGAUGAUCAGCCACACUGGGACUGAGACACGGCCCAGCCUCCUACGGGAGGCAGCAGUGGGGAAUCUUAGACAAUGGGGGCAACCCUGAUCUAGCCAUGCCGCGUGAGUGAUGAAGGCCUUAGGGUUGUAAAGCUCUUUCAGCUGGGAAGAUAAUGACGGUACCAGCAGAAGAAGCCCCGGCUAACUCCGUG